rnacentral:rRNA from 1 species
AACGAACGCUGGCGGCAGGCUUAACACAUGCAAGUCGAGCGCCCCGCAAGGGGAGCGGCAGACGGGUGAGUAACGCGUGGGAAUCUACCUUUUGCUACGGAAUAACUCAGGGAAACUUGUGCUAAUACCGUAUGUGCCCUUCGGGGGAAAGAUUUGUCGGCAAGAGAUGAGCCCGCGUUGGAUUAGCUAGUUGGUGGGGUAAAGGCCUACCAAGGCGACGAUCCAUAGCUGGUCUGAGAGGAUGAUCAGCCACACUGGGACUGAGACACGGCCCAGGCUCCUACGGGAGGCAGCAGUGGGGAAUAUUGGACAAUGGGCGCAAGCCUGAUCCAGCCAUGCCGCGUGAGUGAUGACGGUCUUAGGAUUGUAAAGCUCUUUCACCGGUGAAGAUAAUGACGGUAACCGGAGAAGAAGCCCCGGCUAACUUCGUGCCAGCCGCCGCUGUAACAC